CCAAGUAGGCACCGGAUGAGCGCUAGUAAUACGCACAAGAUCCUCGGACGGAAAGGGAAAUCCAAUUGAUCUGCUACCUCCGAGCCCACCCCAAAUCCCGCCCUCUUUUGCUUCAUCCGUGCCGCCGCCGUCGCGUCGAGCUCCCCCGCUUAAGGCCCCUCCCUGACCGGCCUCCUUCCUCUCCCCGCAUUCUUCACUGCCGGCGGCAACUUCGAUACCUGCUGCCCGCGCGCACUCCGCCGCGGGAUUGGGUUCGGCGUGUUCGGUGACCCGCCUGUUCGUGCUGCUGGAGUCCGGGUGCCCGCGCGGACCGCGGAGCCCGUGCGCGCCAGCAACGCAUCCCUCCCACGGCCGACGGUUUUGAAGCCAGGAGACCCGUCUCAAGCAUUCACGCUGUAGGAAUAGCAGAUUUGGCAAUUGAGCGAGAACUGAAAGUGGAUCUUCUUCCAGUUUUGAGAAACUCAGCCGCAGCUUUGUAAGGUUAUGUAGCUGUGAAAACCAAUCUGGCAAUGUCUGCAAUUUUCCAGCUAUGUGCAAUUUCUGUAGACAUGACGAAGGCUUCAGUGUUGCAAUGUCAAGAGGUCUGAUACCAUCACCUGAGAAGAUGGAUAGACAGCGAGAUGGCAAGAUCAUGAAGAAGAUUGUGAACUCUGCAUGCUUUUACUCUCCCACUGCUGCUGGCGACCGCCACUUCUAUCAUGCUUCUGUUAAUGAGCUCCAUGAGAGAGCAACAGAAAACAUGGCUUCAAAGGGUGUGGAAGAUCCAUGUAGCUUAAAAACAGUGCUUGCUAGACUCCCAUGUCACCAUUGUUUAGGUCCUUCUGAAUGUUUUCCAGGACACACCUCCAUUCGGUAUGUGUUUUUUCCUUCCUUGACAUCAUGCUCCCUGCUGCAACUAUAGCAAGGGGCAAACCAGAACAUUUCCUGACAAUGUCCUUUGCCAUCUCCUUCAGAUCAUCAGGGCAUACCCCAUCUUUCGCGAAGGCCUUUAUGCAAAACAGAUUGUAGGAAUCUUCAAAUGUCAUUGGCUGAAGUUGAUGGACAUCACUUCUCACAUCAACAACCGACUCGGCCACGAUGAUGUUACGUGUUGUCACAAGGACCCGGCUCCCAGUACCAUUAUUAGGCAGAACCCUUUUGAUCACAUGCCACAGCCCUUUGUCCCAGACAUCAUCAAGCACAAGCAAAAAUCGCAGGCCCCCGAGGCCACACAAGAGCAGUUCUUGGAGUUGCCCCUCACUGAGAGAGCUCACCUCUGCGGAGGGGAUCCUCAUCAGCCCCUUGGCCAUCUCACGGAGGACACCUCGCAGCUCCAUCAUGUUUGAAACAUAGACCCAUGAACUGCGGUCGAAGUGCUUCUUCACAUGUGGGUGGUCGUACACCUUCUUGGCAAGCGUGGUCUUACCAACACCACCCAUGCCAACCAAGGACAUGACACUGAACUCUGAUUCCCCACCCAAAGUGUGCUGAAGCAACACGUCCAGGUCUUUGUCCAGGCCAACAGUAUCUUUGUCAUGAACCAGGGGAGACGAGGCUAAGAGGCCAAGGAUCAAGUUGUCACUGGAACCUGCUGGUGGUUUGGUGACGGGUGGGUAAUCUAACCGACGGCGGGAGAUGUCGCUCAGCUGGUUCCUAAUGCGCUUGAUCCGGGCCCCAACUUUGAUCUGUGCUUGUAGGUUAUCGAGGAUGCAGCAACUGCGCACCUGACUAGCGUCGAAGACAUCGAUGGCAUCCUCUGAAUCAAGCAUGAUGUCCCUAAUCUGGUGGACCAAUGCUUCUGUGACCGCGCCACCAUCAGCAGCACACACCUCCGUUUCAUGCAGGAAGAUCUGCAUGCUGUGGAGCUCAUCACGGAGCCAGCGUACAUCCUGGCUUGUGGCUAGGAGGUGCUGUCCCUGGUCGGCUACUCGGGUGGUAAGCAGGGAUGCUAUGCCAUGGAUCAAGGAAGCAAGGAUGGGUUCGGCCAUGGGAAUUCUCUUGGUUCUGUGAGUCGUUGGACAAGGACGACAAGCUCAGACGACUUUUUGGUUUAUCUCAGAAAAGUCAAUGAUAGCUGGCAGCAUUGUAGUUUAGUUUUGAUUCGAGCAGAUUUUUUCCACUUCUUUAUGCCAAAAGAUACUAGGCCCAGCAGCAACCACUUCAUCGAUACGAGUCAUGCCCAAAAGAUGCUACUUGGCUUGCUACAGCUCAAGGUGAAUGGCAGCUUUCUACACCAAAGGCCCGGCUUUACUAAGAGAAAGAAUUACAAGUCUUGGAGAAGAUAUAUUAGCAGCAGCUUUAAUCCUGGGCGAUGUUUGAUUGUGAGAGGGAAUUAGAUAGGAUCAGCAUAUAUAUGUAUAUUAUAUAUCCUGUUGCAAAGAAAAUAAAGCAAUACUCCUACAUGAUAGGAAGUUUUUUUUUUUUUGACGAGUCAUCACAACAAGUUUCAAUGUAUAUGAAGUGGUACUUCAGUGAUGUCUGGAAACUGGAUAUUUUUCUAGGUUUCUGAGUUAUCUUGUUUUUUAGGAGA